rnacentral:tRNA from 1 species
GCCGGGGUAGCUCAGUUGGUAGAGCAGCGGACUGAAAAUCCGCGUGUCGGCGGUUCAAUUCCGUCCCCCGGCACCA